GACGAACGCUGGCGGCGUGCUUAACACAUGCAAGUCGAGCGGUAAGGCCCUUUCGGGGGUACGACGAGCGGCGAACGGGUGAGUAACACGUGGGUGACCUGCCCUCAGCUCUGGGAUAAGCCUGGGAAACCGGGUCUAAUACUGGAUAUGACUCCAUGACGCAUGUUGUGGGGUGGAAAGCCUUGUGCGGCUGAGGAUGGGCCCGCGGCCUAUCAGCUUGUUGGUGGGGUGANGGCCUACCAAGGCGACGACGGGUAGCCGGCCUGAGAGGGCGACCGGCCACACUGGGACUGAGACACGGCCCAGACUCCUACGGGAGGCAGCAGUGGGGAAUCUUGCGCAAUGGGCGAAAGCCUGACGCAGCGACGCCGCGUGAGGGAUGACGGCCUG
rnacentral:rRNA from 1 species